AUGGUAAUUCUAUUAAGAACGGCUAAACCCAUAUUGACGACAAAAAAGAAAAAAAAGUGAGAUAAAUAUGAAGAGGAAGGUGAGAGUCAUAGUAAGAUCUGCCAAAUCAGAAUUUAUAAUAAUUAAAAUGGAAGACAGAGCUAUACAUAUGGUUUGCAGUUGAUUCAACUAAGCUUGUUAUCUGAAGCCAUUUGCUUAGAAACAUCAAUGAUGAUGAUUAGAACAGGAAAAAUCAUCCUGCAUUUUGAGCACGAGCACGUGGUGGUUGUUGUUGUUGAUGGCUAUGAAUUUGGACUCGCCAAGCUUGGUCCUUGUGGAGACAAGAUGUAUCCAUCAUCAAGAGUGAUCUCUAUCGGCGGAAAAAAAUUGGCAAACUUAAUGAUGCACGCAACCUGUUUGAUAAAAUGCCUGGUGGAAAUUUAGUUUCAUCAAGAGUGAUCUCCAUCCACGCAAGAAAUUGACAAAAUUAAUGAUGCACGCAACCUAUUUGUUGAAAUACCUCGUAGAAAUUUAGUUUCUUGAAACAAUAAGAUAUUUGGUACUUGCAUAAUGGGUAAGGUUGCUUAUAAACUGUUUGUUGUUGGUUAUAAUGCCUCACAAGGACUUAUUUUCAUUUUA